GGGGGUGCCUAUACAUGCAAGUCGAGCGAAUGGAUUAAGAGCUUGCUCUUAUGAAGUUAGCGGCGGACGGGUGAGUAACACGUGGGUAACCUGCCCAUAAGACUGGGAUAACUCCGGGAAACCGGGGCUAAUACCGGAUAACAUUUUGAACCGCAUGGUUCGAAAUUGAAAGGCGGCUUCGGCUGUCACUUAUGGAUGGACCCGCGUCGCAUUAGCUAGUUGGUGAGGUAACGGCUCACCAAGGCAACGAUGCGUAGCCGACCUGAGAGGGUGAUCGGCCACACUGGGACUGAGACACGGCCCAGACUCCUACGGGAGGCAGCAGUAGGGAAUCUUCCGCAAUGGACGAAAGUCUGACGGAGCAACGCCGCGUGAGUGAUGAAGGCUUUCGGGUCGUAAAACUCUGUUGUUAGGGAAGAACAAGUGCUAGUUGAAUAAGCUGGCACCUUGACGGUACCUAACCAGAAAGCCACGGCUAACUACGUGCCAGCAGCCGCGGUAAUACGUAGGUGGCAAGCGUUAUCCGGAAUUAUUGGGCGUAAAGCGCGCGCACGUGGUUUCUUAAGUCUGAUGUGAAAGCCCACGGCUCAACCGUG
rnacentral:rRNA from 1 species